UGCCUAGCAACUCCUAUCCCUACUUCCUGGCGGCACUGGCCGGGGUACGAGUAACCUUAGGGAAGAUCGGGUAACCAACCUUCCUACCGGGGUAUGGUCGUAUGCUGACAGGGAAGG
rnacentral:ribozyme from 1 species